rnacentral:lncRNA from 1 species
UGAGUGAGGAAGAGGAAACUACAGGAACAGUCUCACAUCUUUGGAGCUGAAUUUUAUUACAACGUCCAGGUAGCAAUGUAGAGCCGGGUGACUAAAUGGCUGUCAAACCACAUUUACGAACAUCCCAAGGUGGUUGCGUUGAUGAACACUUGGAUCAGGGAGUUUCUCCACCAGCACUAUUUUUUUGGUGUGACACUGUUCAUGUUUUGUGCCACGGCUCUAGUGAUCAUUGGGCAUUUCUUCAAUUACCUUCUUCUGCCCGUUACGGUAGUACGUCUAAAGAACACAAGACUCUGGCCGUUUCUCCACAGCCACCCUGUACUGGGAGUACCAUUGUUCGCAUUUACUACUGGGGCUGCACUGAUUAUGGGAUAUUGCCUCAUUUACCCUCUUCUGCCCAUUCUUCUGAUAUUGUGGGUGUGUGUUAUCAAUGAGGGAGUGCAUUGGCUGAGGGACCGUCUAGAUGAAUUUGUGAUCUUCACGGCAUCACUCGUGUGUUGCUGUUGGCUUGCCUGUCAGUCAACAGAAGAACUGCAGAACAAACUAGAGUAACAAUUUUCAUGAACAUCUGGGGACGGAUGAAUCCAUCAAGUUAUCCAGCACAUCCAUAAAAAGGGUCAGUUUUACUUACUUGCAUUAACAUUUGAGAGCUUGCACAGACUAAAUUUACCUUUAAUAGAAGGAAGGGUACUUCAUCUAUGCACACACACGCAAUUAACAAGUGUAGGUAUGUACUUUUAAAUGCAUUACUUUAUUUUUUCACUUUUAUACAUAUGUUUAUACACUUUUAAGUAACACUAAGGGUCAAUAUAAAUGAGCUAAUUAAUCAAUAAAUGCAAUAAUACAGUUAAUCUUUUACAUAUAUUCUUUCAAUUAUAUCUACACUUGUGUUUACGUAUAUUAUUGGAAUAAACUUUUUUUUUUUUCACUUUGCUUACUAUUUGUUGUUUUUUGCACCUCUAAUAGACAGAUACAGCUACUUUAUACAAGACUGUAGAACCUGUGAUAAGAACGACAUUAACCCAUAAGAACCCAGUGUGACUUUUGUGGCAGUUCCCAAAUGAAUUUUUCUCUCUAUUUAACCUUUUCUGAGUGAUUUAUUGCCAUUUAUUAUAAUAUUAUCCUCUGAAUUGUGCAUUUUUUCCAGUAAAAAUUGUUUAUUUUGCUAUGUUUAAUUGACUGAUCAUGUAGAUAUUCAUAAAAGCUCAGAGUAAAGUCAAAGGUUAUAUCAAAACAGGAAAAAACUGAAGAAAAAGUGACUUUUUCAGUAAAAUCUAUCAUUAACUGAACAAAAACCAAGUGUGUCCAUCCACUGUCAUUGAUUCAACGUCAUGGGUUUUACUGGUGAAUCAGUGUUGUAGAAGAUGAUGGUGUUUCCAUGUUCACUAUGGAGCCUCUGCACAUCCAAAUGGGUCAUAUCUGAUGACCAUGAAAAGAUGACAAACUGCAUUUUACAACAGUUAUUUACAUGGAUUGAUAGAAUUGGUGGAUCAAUAGGUAUUAAACAUUUUAGAUCGGUAGAUGGUUUUGGUCGUCGGUGGUUGUUUGGGUCUUUAUGGGAUAAAUCUUUUCUAUAAUGAAGACGAUUAAAGAUAUUUCUCAAGAAUAUACUGACUAAAACGACUUCAGCUGCAGUUAUGUGUUGUAACCAGGACCCUUAAAUUUAUCUUAUAUCUUUAAUAAUCUGGAAUUGUCAGAGGGCAUUUAUUAAACUUGAUCUAGGGCAGAAAAAAAUUGUGUCUAUGUUCUGUGCAGUAUUGUUUUACUGUUAUUUUUCUAAAAGACCCAAAAAGUCAAUUCAGUGUAUCCUUGGGACCUAAUCAAACCACAAAAAUUAGAUCCAUACAUAUAUCGAUAUAUACACUACAUUUUUACUGAGUUUUCUGCAGUUGAAAAACUGUCUUUGAAAGUCUUUAUCUAAAUAUUGAUUUUGGAAUCUUGUGCUUUUUUGUCACUUUAAUUGCAUCUUUUAUGUCUGUUUUUCCUGUUUCAUCCUUUAGUCAUCUUGUAUUUGCUACACAACUUUUUGUUUUGUUACAGUUACAUCAGUUCAAUCUUUUCUACACCUUUAUAUUUUUUAUAUGGGUAAGGUUAUGAAUUGGACAUAGUUUAUUUUUGAUAUGUAUAUUACUGCUAAGAAAUGACAGUUUAUUUUUGUGCAUUAUUGUUAUGAAACGGAUAGUGUACUUUUGUUUUUGAUAUGUUUAUUAUUGUUAUGAAAUGGAUAGAGGGUAUUUUGUCUCUGAUGUGCACUAUUACUGCUAUGAAAAGGACAGAGUUUAUUUUAAUGUGAAAUGCUGCUGCAAAAUGGACAAUCUAUCCUUGAUAUGUACAGUAAUUUGGUGUUUUGUGCACAGUCAGAAUUUAGUCUGAUAUGUGUAGGAUUUUUGAGUUACUUAGGGAAUCUGACAAAGGAAUUUAGGGUAGGUGAACGAUGGGGUAAGGGGCCGGGAGAUUAUAAAUUAAACUUCAUCCCGCUCCUUUUUGAAUGUUU